rnacentral:rRNA from 1 species
UGGGGAAUAUUGCACAAUGGGCGAAAGCCUGAUGCAGCAACGCCGCGUGAGGGACGACGGCCUUCGGGUUGUAAACCUCUUUUAGCAAGGAAGAAGCGAAAGUGACGGUACUUGCAGAAAAAGCGCCGGCUAACUACGUGCCAGCAGCCGCGGUAAUACGUAGGGCGCAAGCGUUAUCCGGAAUUAUUGGGCGUAAAGAGCUCGUAGGCGGUUUGUCGCGUCUGCUGUGAAAACCCGAGGCUCAACCUCGGGCCUGCAGUGGGUACGGGCAGACUAGAGUGCGGUAGGGGAGAUUGGAACUCCUGGUGUAGCGGUGGAAUGCGCAGAUAUCAGGAAGAACACCGAUGGCGAAGGCAGAUCUCUGGGCCGUAACUGACGCUGAGGAGCGAAAGGGUGGGGAGCAAACAGGCUUAGAUACCCUGGUAGUCCACCCGUAAACGUUGGGAACUAGUUGUGGGGUCCAUUCCACGGAUUCCGUGACGCAGCUAACGCAUUAAGUUCCCCGCCUGGGGAGUACGGCCGCAAGGC